rnacentral:misc_RNA from 1 species
AAAAUGCGAUACGUAAUGCGAUCUGCAUGAACCUGUGAGUCAUCGAGUCUUUGAACGCAACUUGCGCCACUCUGUGGCAUGUCUGUUUGAGCACCAUAUACCUCUGUCGCAAGACGAAUUGUCCAGUUAGUCGCUGGGCUGAAUGCCGUGCAUCUAUGAAUGGGGUGCGCUGUGGCGAACCGAGCUAGAGACCGCUGGUCUUGUCGGCAAGCCACCCCGCCCCCACUGUCACCGGUCUCAAAUCAGGCAAGACGACCCGCUGAACUUAA